AACGAACGCUGGCGGCAGGCCUAACACAUGCAAGUCGAACGAAGUCUUCGGACUUAGUGGCGGACGGGUGAGUAACACGUGGGAACGUACCUUUUGGUUCGGAACAACUCCGGGAAACUUGAGCUAAUACCGGAUAAGCCCUUCGGGGGAAAGAUUUAUCGCCAUUAGAGCGGCCCGCGUUAGAUUAGCUAGUUGGUGAGGUAAAGGCUCACCAAGGCUACGAUCUAUAGCUGGUCUGAGAGGAUGAUCAGCCACACUGGGACUGAGACACGGCCCAGACUCCUACGGGAGGCAGCAGUGGGGAAUCUUGCGCAAUGGGCGAAAGCCUGACGCAGCCAUGCCGCGUGAAUGAUGAAGGUCUUAGGAUUGUAAAAUUCUUUUACCAGGGACGAUAAUGACGGUACCUGGAGAAAAAGCCCCGGCUAACUUCGUGCCAGCCGCCGCCGUAA
rnacentral:rRNA from 1 species